rnacentral:rRNA from 1 species
AACGAACGCUGGCGGCAGGCCUAACACAUGCAAGUCGAGCGAGGACUUCGGUUCUAGCGGCGGACGGGUGAGUAACGCGUGGGAACGUGCCCCUUGGUACGGAAUAGCACCGGGAAACUGGGAGUAAUACCGUAUGAGCUUUACGGAGGAAAGGUUUCAAGCCAAGGGAUCGGCCCGCGUUGGGUUAGGUAGUAGGUGGGGUAAUGGCCUACCAAACCGACGAUCCAGAGCUGGUUUGAGAGGAUGAUCAGCCACACUGGGACUGAGACACGGCCCAGACUCCUACGGGAGGCAGCAGUGGGGAAUCUUAGACAAUGGGCGCAAGCCUGAUCUAGCCAUGCCGCGUGAGCGAUGAAGGCCUUAGGGUUGUAAAGCUCUUUCAGCUGGGAAGAUAAUGACUGUACCAGCAGAAGAAGCCCCGGCUAACUCCGUGCCAGCCGCCGCCGUAAGAC